GUCUACGGCCAUUCCACCCUGAACGCGCCCGAUCUCGUCUGCUCUCAGAAGCUAAACAGGGUCAGGCCUAGUUAGUACUUGGAUGGGGGAAAUUAGUCAGACCUAAAUU
ensembl:rRNA 5S_rRNA 5S ribosomal RNA